UACGGAGGGGGCUAGCGUUGUUCGGAAUUACUGGGCGUAAAGCGCACGUAGGCGGCUUUGUAAGUUAGAGGUGAAAGCCCGGAGCUCAACUCCGGAAUUGCCUUUAAGACUGCAUCGCUAGAAUUGUGGAGAGGUGAGUGGAAUUCCGAGUGUAGAGGUGAAAUUCGUAGAUAUUCGGAAGAACACCAGUGGCGAAGGCGACUCACUGGACAUGUAUUGACGCUGAGGUGCGAAAGCGUGGGGAGCAAACAGG
rnacentral:rRNA from 1 species